rnacentral:rRNA from 1 species
GACGGAGGAUGCAAGCGUUGUCCGGAAUGAUUGGGCGUAAAGCGUCCGCAGGUGGCAGUUCAAGUCUGCUGUCAAAGACCGGGGCUUAACUUCGGAAAGGCAGUGGAAACUGAACAGCUAGAGUAUGGUAGGGGCAGAGGGAAUUCCUGGUGUAGCGGUGAAAUGCGUAGAUAUCAGGAAGAACAUCGGUGGCGAAGGCGCUCUGCUGGACCAUAACUGACACUCAGGGACGAAAGCUAGGGGAGCGAAUGGG